AGGAUCUCUCGCUCUGCUAGAGCUGCUGUGGCCCUCUCUAAUGUCCUUGCUCUUCUCCAGGUGAGGAAUGCCAUCCAGAGGAUGAAGGACAAGAAGAAAGCACUCUCAUUCACAAACUGCUCUCAUCCCAUCAACUACUUAUCAAGUCCAAGAAACACAACCUCCUGGGAGACAGGGAAACUGAGUCCUUCUGCAGCUGAGAGUGCCUUGUCAAGCCCUGUGCAGAAAGACCCUCCAGUGAAGAACAUCACCAACAAAGGAAAUUUUGGAGCCAAAAUUCCCAUGGGCAUUUCAUCAAUUAUGUCACCUGAGAGACCGGUAUGUAAUGUCUUCUGUUAUUCUUCCACCUUCAUCCAUAUACAGAGCAUAAUAGUU
rnacentral:lncRNA from 1 species